CCUACGGGAGGCAGCAGUGGGGAAUUUUGGACAAUGGGCGCAAGCCUGAUCCAGCAAUGCCGCGUGCAGGAUGAAGGCCUUCGGGUUGUAAACUGCUUUUGUACGGAACGAAACGGUCCUUUCUAAUACAAGGGGCUAAUGACGGUACCGUAAGAAUAAGCACCGGCUAACUACGUGCCAGCAGCCGCGGUAAUACGUAGGGUGCGAGCGUUAAUCGGAAUUACUGGGCGUAAAGCGUGCGCAGGCGGUUAUAUAAGACAGAUGUGAAAUCCCCGGGCUCAACCUGGGACCUGCAUUUGUGACUGUAUAGCUAGAGUACGGUAGAGGGGGAUGGAAUUCCGCGUGUAGCAGUGAAAUGCGUAGAUAUGCGGAGGAACACCGAUGGCGAAGGCAAUCCCCUGGACCUGUACUGACGCUCAUGCACGAAAGCGUGGGGAGCAAACAGGAUUAGAUACCCUGGUAGUCCACGCCCUAAACGAUGUCAACUGGUUGUUGGGUCUUCACUGACUCAGUAACGAAGCUAACGCGUGAAGUUGACCGCCUGGGGAGUCGGCCGCAGGUUGAAACUCAAAUUGAAUUGACGGNNGAGAGNGCGAGCGACGACGAGGGAGGAGG
rnacentral:rRNA from 1 species